GAUGAACGCUGGCGGCGUGCCUAAUACAUGCAAGUCGAGCGAACGGACGAGAAGCUUGCUUCUCUGAUGUUAGCGGCGGACGGGUGAGUAACACGUGGAUAACCUACCUAUAAGACUGGGAUAACUUCGGGAAACCGGAGCUAAUACCGGAUAAUAUUUUGAACCGCAUGGUUCAAAAGUGAAAGGCGGUCUUGCUGUCACUUAUAGAUGGAUCCGCGCUGCAUUAGCUAGUUGGUAAGGUAACGGCUUACCAAGGCAACGAUGCAUAGCCGACCUGAGAGGGAGAUCGGCCACACUGGAACUGAGACACGGUCCAGACUCCUACGGGAGGCAGCAGUAGGGAAUCUUCCGCAAUGGGCGAAAGCCUGACGGAGCAACGCCGCGUGAGUGAUGAAGGUCUUCGGAUCGUAAAACUCUGUUAUUAGGGAAGAACAUAUGUGUAAGUAACUGUGCACAUCUUGACGGUACCUAAUCAGAAAGCCACGGCUAACUACGUG
rnacentral:rRNA from 1 species